ensembl:lncRNA
GCGCUUUACAUUGUAUGGAGGGAAUCUCCACAAGUGUGUAGCAUACACCUGGAUGAUGCGUCGGCAGCCAUAGCGCACCAGAACUUCCACCACACGCCAGCCAAUGGUGGAAAGGAGAGGAGAGUGAUGUAGCCAAUUCAGGGAUAGAUAAGGGCCAAUGCGGGAAUUUCUCCGGGACACCAGGGUUAUACCCAUACUCUUUUACGAGACGUGUCCCGAGAUGUUUAAUGACCACUGAGAGUCAGGACCUCGGUUUAACGUCUCAUCCGAAAGACAGUAUACUGUCCCCGUCACUAUACUGAGGCAUUAGGCCCCACACAGACCACAGGGUGAGCGCCUCACUAAUACCACUUCCAGCAGCAACCUCAGUUUCCCCAGGAGGUCACCCAUCCAGGUACGGGCCAGGCUCAACCCUGCUUAGCUUCAGUAGGAAACCAGGUGAGAACUACAGCGAGAACUACAGCGAGAUAUGGCCCUGGCAUCUCUUCCUGUUGAUGGUAAAACUCUGCAAUAUGCUGGUUGGCUCUCAUUCCGAGCAGUCACAUAACAUGUAAUAUUUCUUCUCCACAAAUGCCUCAUAUAUAUUCACUUAGUGGCUGUUUCUGCAUUCAUAGGAGCUCUUGCUGCUCCCUGCCCGCGACUGCAUUAUGUGUGAUAACUCAGUCCUGGAGCACUUAAGUGAUGCUCAAUACCAGUGUGCUGCUUAAAGAGGGGGUGAAAUAUUUCACUCAUUCCACCGCAGACACUUCUUAUCACAAGCUCAGUUAAGUAAAAGUCUGCAUCUCCAGAACCUGACCGCGAGCAGCAUAUAAACUCCUGUAAGGACGCUGCCGCAGUAGGGAGGAUGUUAGGACUAUCCAAUCCUUACCACGCAACAGAAUGGAGACGGACAGGGCGCUGAAGAUGUGUCUCUAGACUGCAUCCUUAUCAAGAGUCCUAUUUUAAAUCUCACAGCUUGAUGAAUUUGGUGUGUCAGGGAAAGCAUGAAACCUUGAGACAACAAGUAUGUUUACAAGUCUGAUUGUCAGAUUUUACACAGUACUGGGCAUACUUAUAAGCACAGGGAUUUGGAGGCGAGAGCCGGUGAAGUAGCCUGCCGGAGUUUACUGAAAAAGAAAAGUGGAUCAAGAUUUAUAACCUAACGGUGUGAUUUCCCCUCAUCAUUAACAUGAUAUCGGAAUGAUGUACAAUGGAACUGUCAUAAAGCAGUUAAAAUGUCACAUUAGAAUAUAUGAAUAAAUUAAACACUUACCAAUUAAUCUCGCCUUAAACUACAGGCGUCUUCUUCGGUAAAAUAUGAAAGCGCAUCAUUAACAGGAAUCUGAGGCUACCCUGCGAACACUUUUUAAUAAUUAAAAAAAAAAAGAGCAGGUGGUAUCUUCAACUGUUCAGUUUUGGUGAGCCUGUGCCCAACGUAGCCUUAAAUUCCCGUUACGACAUUAAUCGAGCUAAACUAAGCUCAAUGUCCAACUUCUUCUGGAGCAGGUCUGACCGAAAACAUGCUGUUUUAGGAACUGGGCAGGGCUUAAGGUCAGCUUCAUGUGUGGAACCAACACUGACUUUCAGCGCCCCUGGAACGUUCAGAAGCAGCCCUGCACAAUGCCGGGCAGCCGCUUUUAAAAAUCACUAUACGCAGAUCAAACGCACAAAGUAAAGUGCGACGAUUAUUCCGAUUGUCCUCUCACAGCACAUCUUCGCUUAUUUGCUGCCACUACAUAUGUAUGUAUGUGCCUUGUAAUAAAAAAGUCAUACGGAUAAUAUCAUAUUAAAAGGACAGUAGCAUGGAGAUUUGGAGACUGUGUACCGCUGUGGUGGUACAAGACGGUAUUGCCGGUCCCGAGCCUGGAUAAAACGGGAGGGUCGAGUCGGGAAGGACAUCCGGCGCUUAAAAAAGUAAAGAGAUUUUUAAAAAAAAAGGUGCCAAAUCAAAUACGUGGAUCAUGAACCGUGAAUCCAUAAGGGAGACGGGUGUGCUCUGUGAUCGCCGUGGCAACCCCUAACGGGAGCAGCCGAACGAGGAGGACGCAUGGAAAUCUGGACAUAAAAAUGAAGGCAUCUCUGUGGAAAAGUAACACAGUCACAUCUGCACACGGCAGACUUGAAGUCACGUUUCGUGCGGUUAAAUGUCAGCACAAUGGCGAGAGUGGUAACACCAAAAAGUUAAAGUUCGGUUAAUGUAACGAGGAAAGAGAACACCGACUCAUUUUAUAAUGAGCUGCUUUCUGUCACUUCUGUGGAUUUCUGAAUCCCCCCACCCCACCCCCAGCCGCAUUCUUGUCUUAUCGUCUGAUUUGAGCUGGUCGGGAUUAUACAUGGUACAGGUGACAUCGAUGCUACUAAAGUACCAAUCAGAAUUACUGUAGCCAUCUGCUUUAGGCAGCUCUCCUUUUACCCCAACCACAGAGGCUUCUUUCCUGCUUACUCGUGCCCGAGUGUGAGCAAAAGUACAUCAAGUUAGAAUUUUACCAACGUUAGCGUGGAUGGUAACGGCGAGCUGCUGAAAAGCCGAGACUACAGCGUCUGACGAUGUUUUCCGUGUUUGUGUACAAAAUCUCAUGCUGUUAUGAACGGAAAAGUACGGCGAACUUGAUCCGACUUGCUGAGCUUCACCAGCAAGACUAAUAACCCAAACAACUCACUAACUACCGCGUGAUAGUGGUCCGUUAAAACGGAAUACACCGACACGCCGCACGACGGGCGAUGUGCAAGCACCGCUUUGUCAUUCCUACUCACGUUUCUAGCGUUAUCACAGUGAUGGGUUGUUUACGUUGGCAGGGAGAUGCUGCUGUCAUUCAUUAAGCAAUCUGACACGCCCACACAGUUCUGAUGAGGCAGGAACAUUCGAAAUCCUGUCGACAAGGGCUGUAAUUAAGAGACGAGCCACAAAGUAAAGUAGUAGAGAGGGGGAACAAAAAUCGAUGAAAAAGUAAUGGUUUCAGUUUGACAUGGAUCAAUGGAUUCAAAACAACGCAAAAUGCAGCUUGUAAUUUUAAUCGAAGAGAACGUGGGGCGGACGCUGGCCAGGCGUUUGACAUUGAAAUAUCGCCUGCUUUAUAGUUAAAGUUAUAGUUCGAAAACGUCUGUUUUCUUCUGUGCGCUUCAAUAAACGCUCAUCAUGUGUCCGCAUCAAAUAUAGUGGGGAUUUAAUUCAGGCCCUCGGGCUUCCACAUAUCUUUCCGACAUGCCCGACACCUAAUAAAACACAUUCUGCUGAAGUCCCCCGUCACCGUGCCUUCUUUAUCCGUCUGCGGUUACAGAAAUUCUACACGAUCAAGCGGGAACCACGAUGGACCACGGACCUCUCGUCAAAGUCGGAACGGAAACGCUACGGUGAUUACCGAGCGACGCUGAAACGUCACAUCUUCGGGUAGCGUCCGUUGGGCCGGCGAUUCCGAACCCGAUUUCCGAGCUCCUUCGCGGGUUCUCGACAUGCUCACAGCAAGAAGCAGCGAGAAGGGCGUUUUAGUUAUUUGUCCGGGAAUCACCAGGAAAGCUCGCAGCACUUGUAAAUAAAUGAGGAAUGCGAGGACGUUAAAUAACACUUCACCUUAUAAACUUUUGAUUUGUCAACUGAGAAGAUGAUACUGAUAAACACGGCAUGUUGACUGAUAUUGCACAGCAAUACGAAGAAAUAAUACCUUGCAUAUAUAAUAGAAGGAAUGCACUUCUGCCCUACAUUAAUAGUGGGAAAUGAUUUGCAGCUGACUCACUGGGGCCUCGACAGCGCUUUUGUGUGAGUAUAAACAGAGUGCUGCGGCUAUGGCAGCGAUGAAUGGAAAGCCUGCCAAAUAAAAUGCAGGUACUCCUUCAUGUUAGGCUACUAAUCAAUUGAUGGUAAAGAAACGUUAUAUUUUUAUUGAUUCUACAUACCGGCAAGUCCAUAAUAAGACUCCUUUAUAGGAAGAAUGUCUCAGUAGCUGAGGAAACUCAACUAUAUUAAUGUAAGAGAGCAAAGGUUCCUAUUUUAGGGCCUGCUAAUUUCCAUACAUACACAUAUACUAUAUAAACACAUAAUAUAGUGAAACCUUAUGAACCUUGACAGCGGCGCAGGAAGCAAAGCAACUUGACAGUGCAUAGGGCCCUAGGGCAUGGUGCUCAAUUUUUCUUAGAUGUCCACUUAAAUUUUUAAAAAGGUUUAAACCUGGACCAACCAACGUUCCAGAGGUAUGUUCAUAAAACCAUACUUUAAAGGGGACAAGCUAACUUUGUUUAGCUACCAAACCACGGUAGAUACUAACGUUAGUUCAGUCGAGGUAUCUUGAUCUAACGUCAACUAACUAGCUUCGCUGUCUUGCGUAAUUUCAGUCAGUACAUGAACAUCUAUGUAAGUUAGCUAGGUUGGCAAUUUCUUUAGUUGUAAGAUUAGCUCUAUAUUUUGCUACGCUAUCUUCGCUAUCGCUAGUGCGACGAUGCGAUCGCAUCUACCAGAAUUACUCCCUAACAAAAAAAAAAAAAGUUUGUACUUCAUUUAUUCUCUGUUGAGGUUUACCUCAUCGAUGGCAUCGAUAACAACCAUCCCGAAGCGAUGGCACGGAGGACUAUCCGAUCGACUGUUUGAUCCGCUUGACGAUGAACUUCUGCCCCAGACCGAUCGUACAAACGCGUGUCCAAACAUCGAUUAUUCAUAGCGGUUGCCGGCUUACCUUUCCGUUUGAGAUCAAGCCGCCUUGUUGUUUUGUUGUAAGUGCAUAGAACUCUCAUCGUUGUUUUAACUUUCAUUCUGAUACGUUGCCUAAAUUCCUUUUUGCGUUCGUUCGGCUUGAGGUGCGCCACAAAAAGACUUCGCUAUGGUGGGGAAAGCCCUCUGUUAAUUAGGAAGCUAGCUAGCUUUUUUUAUGUUUUAAUAUUAAUCAUAUUCUUCUUCUUAUUAUUAUAGCUCUAAGGCAAAGUGAUUACUUCUAGAAAGUGGUUGGGUGUUAAGGUUUAAGCUUCAUUUAACACACCUCUCAGGGACAAGGCUCAGUCGGACUAGGGAAAAUAUUGAGUUAAAUCUGUCAGAGGACGAGGACGGCCCGAUACAACUGGACCAGAGACGAGCUUCAGGACCAAACAAAGGAUCCAUUGAGCACAACAGUUCGAGAAAGAGCUGGAACAUGAUCUUCUCACAGACAAUCAAGAGUCUUGUCUGGAUUCUCAGAGGACACUUGCAGUUAAUUAAAGAAGGAUAUGGACACUUACCCACUCCCACUUAUAAGCCAAAACUCUGAAAUGGCAGCGUAUCACAUCUUUAAGAAGGUCAGCCUCGGGGGGAGGUUGCGAGGGAAUGGAUAAGGGCAUACCGCUAAAUGCUUACGAUAAAUCCUCCAUUAAACCUGUACUUCCUCCAAACAGGCAGCUGAGCUGGUCAAAUUCCUAAGCUUGCCCUUGAUAUCGACAUAAAUAUAUAAAUUAUAUGCACCUGUCUCCUUACCUGUGACAUGUAGAUAAAAAAAUAAAUAAAUAAAUAAAAAAGUAACUUGCAACUGAUGCAAGCAGAUCCCAAACACUGUGUUACUGUGAGUUUCGUGACGAAAACCGCAUCUGCACCUCGCCUGACUGGCGACGAGUCGGUACAAGUCAUUAUCACUUCAAAGGAAGCUGUAGCGUUGCACUGCAUUUGAUUUGCAAGACAUUACAUGGUGUACCAUCAGACUGGCUUCCAUACAGGAAACCUCACUCUUUAUAAUCCCCGUUUAAGAAAUGCUGGAUCAGGUGCCACGGGCUAAGUAAUAUUUAUCUCCAGCAAGGCGGACCUGAUUUGGUGCAAUCAGGGAAGAAAUGGGCUCUGUCCUUAGCCAUUUCACUGACAAAUGCUGGGUUUUAUGGCUACGGCCACUGAGAGAGCAGAGAAACCGUAGCGUGUGGCAUCACAUGCGCCGUAUCAAUCUGCAAAAUGACUCGCGGGGCCCUGAGUAGGCGUCUGCCGUCCAUGUCUGGGUACAUUAAUCAUCGGAUCCAGUCAAUCUUUCUGACCUCCUUUCCUCCAGUCCCUGCUGCAGAUCAGGACCUGCGGUUCCCGUCAUUCCGCUCGCGCAUCUGCUGUACUUUCGAGGAUGAAGAGAUCAAGAUCUCUGUUGUGUCAGUGAGAAGCAGAGAGCAGACAGCAGUCCUGGAAGGGAAUGGCAGCACGACAGAAAGCACUAGACCGACAGAGCCUUCCAGCGUCUGUCAUGUUUGGCUUUGCCCUGGAGCCGAGAGCAAUCCAUAUGCCGAUUCCGAUUUUAUCCAAAGCUGAAGCACAGAUCUCUCUAUCCAACCUCGUCUCUGCACUCUGCCCGAUCCGGGGAUCCACGAGCCGUAAAUUUCAGUGGCCCAGCAUCAGACAAUCUGGAGAGUGUAUGCAAAUGUACCGCAAUGAUUCUGGAGUGUGACCUUGACUUCUCCCUCUCCGGCGAAUUGACCAUGUCUACGUGGAGAGCUGAAUUAAAUCGUCGUCAGAUUACAACCAUGUGUUGUCACAGAACACUGUAUGGUACAUUUGCACUCUGCAAUACAAAUUACAGACUGAAAUCAAUACAACUGUAGGAUCUGUUGGAGCCCAAACACAGGGUUUUAUGGCCCAAGGCAGUGAGAGAGAGAGAGAGCAGAAAAUUGGUUUGGAUCUAAGGGGUAUUGGUUAAGGCCCAUGGGAAGGCCGUAUUGUAAUAAAGCACCGCUUCCACCCUAAUUGCGACAUGUUCAUCUGAAGUCUCAGUGUACUAAAGUGGCAAGUCAGGGGAAAUGUUUUGGAAAUAUCCUGCACUGUAUAUGCCAUUCUAGAACAAUGUUUCCCCAAGUUCAUUCCUCAGGGACCUGGAGACAAUGGACGUUUUAAAAAGGUCAUGACCCAGAACACACCUGAACAAAGCAAGAACAUGUUAAUAUUCUCAAGCCAGCCCCAUCCUCAGGUAGACAGAUAUUUUGGAAAACGUAGUUUCUUCAGUCCACAAGAAAGCUGUGUUUCGGGUUACUGAAUACGAAGCUUUUCGAAAACACGCUCCAUGGAGAACCCGUGUAUCUGAAAACAUUGUCGACCUGCGCGUAUCCAUUGCGGUUUUCGUGUGGUGUGCGUGUGAUGGGACUCCGUUCAUCACGGCAGGUAACCAGGUUCAGUUUUACGCUGUAAUUUCUUACAGGUAACGUGUGCAAUUUAUUGUAGCUUUUUUUUUUUUAAACAUAUUUUUACCCACAGUUGGAGACGGCAGAAUAUAAUAUAUACUGCUCCUGAAUCCACUGCUACACUGCGAAUGGAGGUUUUUAAUAAAACCAAAGUGUGACCUUAAGCAGUAGUUCCACAUCAUCAUCGUUUUUUCGUUUUAGAACUUUGGGCCAUGUUGGUGUUUUUCUACAUUUCUCCUUCCCUAACCGCUCCAUCUUGGAGAUUUAUGUUCAAGAAUGCUGUUUGUGUGGAUGGGAAUUUUUUCCUUUUUUUUUUUUUUUUAAAAAUGAGUUUUUAUUAAUAUUUUUUUAAAUAUCUGCAUAUAAGUGAACAGGACCUGAGUUUUCUGUGUUGCGAGCCAAGAUUUAGUCUUCAUGCUAUUUUGAAACGGAAUGUUUAAGUGGCAGGAUAUUAGCUGGCGGGUAUGAUUUUACAGACCCUGACCGCUAAAACUCAACGUUUAUUGGAAUGGUCUUCAUUGAUUAACUGCAACUCUUCUUAUUGCAGACGGUCAUUGCUAUCGCAGAUGUUGCGCGUGACACAUCGUUCCUCUAUCUGUCAACGGUGUAAAAUAUUUGGUGGGGUUGGGAUGGGGUGUUUGGUCGAGUCAUAUAUAUUCAGUCGAGUGACAAUGUGGCAAUGUUUACAGUAAAGUUCGUUGGAAAAAUCUUACAACGAGGACAUGUAGUGUGGUAUAAUGCAUAUUUGCUUCUAUAGUACAACAAGGGACUCAACCUAUAAGAAUAUGAUCCAUCCAGUAGGCAAACUAAAACAACUGGCACACUCCAAAUCAGUCAUGUUUUAAAUGAUCACAACGCGAGCCAUAAGGCACGUCUUGCUCCUUCGGCAGCGACUCUUAUCAACCCAAACUGUAACGGAUUGAUGACGUCGGUGGAAUACGCUUCAUCGUCAGCUUCUUUCUUCUCAUGCAAACAGAUCACUUCUGAAAAGGAUGUGUCAUCAGAUGUGUUUUGGGAAAGUGAGGAAAUGAAUGCGGCAGAAAAUAGAAAGCGUCCGUGUGAAAAGGCUCGACAGACUGCAGCGGUAACGCCGUGGUGCUGGUGUGUUAGUGAGCAUCCUUCUUUAGAGAACGGGAUGAAAUAUCGGCUUAUCGGAAUUAUUACCGGACCGGCUUUAAAGAAGAAAGAGGAGAAUAGGAGAUUCAAAUGAUCUGACAAGCACAAACACUGUCAGCCGAUCUCUCCACGCGACUACCGCACUGGAACUGAAGCCUCCAGUGGGUAAUAUCACACCUCCAUAUUGGAAAACGUUCGAUUAAAAGACACUUGCACUUUUUCCACCUCCAUCAUCUACACACACAUAUAUCAUAUGACAACUUUGAGAUUAUUCGAGUUGGCUUACCUUUCGUACGGGUUGUGCAGAGGAGGCAUGGAAGAGAACAAAGAGAAAGAGAGAAUUGGUAUCAUUGUUAUUAUUUAUAUAUAUCAACUAGUAAGGAAUAAACAUAUGGGGGCAUGCUGUUACUGUAAAAUAAUCAAAGAUGGGCUGGUGUGAUGAAGCCGGAUAAGAAGUGGCGUUACUCUUACCACCCUGAAGUCGAUUAUUUUCCAAUGACGGCACAUUCCGAAGCAUUCGAUUCCUUUUAACGGUGAACAAUUACGACGUUUAAUUUAUUAAUGAAUGCACGUACGUUUUCAUCCCUUUAUAGUUAAACUUUGUGGAAUUUCCACAAAACAGGUGAUUUCCUGUCGUCACUUACGUUAUAGCAGCUACACUGCGCUGGAGACUCCUUCCACAAAUAUUGAAUAAAGCUCUCUGUAUUAAAAAAUAAAUAAAUAAAUAAAUAAAUACUCCAAAAUCAAUAACUAUAUGCAUUACUUUGUCAAAUAGCAACAUGUUUUGCAACCGGUUCGUUAUUAGGCUUAGAUGAUGCGGCGCAUCCGCCACACGAGUCCCCGUGAAUGAGUUGUUAGAACAAGAACAUUAAUGUGGUUUGAGGGGUUUAUUAGGCGUGUACAGCUUAUUUCGGACUCCUGGGUUUAUGUUCCUGCGCUCCUUUUACCACACUCGGCCCGGUUACUCCCACUCUCCCAGUCACCCAAGGUGAGAUCAAACCGGAAGCCAUUUUCUUUAGCACUUCACCGGUCACAUAAGCACCUGGAAGUCCUGAAUCAACAGGUCAACAAAACAUUCGAUGUUUUGAAACUAGACCAAACGAUUGGCUGAAUCCCUGGCGCUCUGUAAUCAAGCAUACCGACUAAAGCGCUAAACGAAUGACGUCAAGGGUUUGGAGUCAUAAAUUACCACAAUUUGUACAGGAACUGCUAGAUGUUAUCCGUCUAAAAAGGUCAGCGGUACCUUUCACAGGAAGUGUCUCCUUUGUGAUGGAGUGGCUGGUAUAAAGUCAGCCAUGCCUAGCUCUUGAUAUGUAAAGGUCGAGGUAACUAAGACAAGAACCUGAAAGGUCGCACUUGACCUUAAAACAAGGAACGUUCGAGCACAACACUAAGGAUUCGACAAGACCACGUUCAUGACUUAAUCUCGGUUUCGGGACGCUGAGGGGAUCUGAGCCAAAUAAGAAGCUGGAGAGUAAAUGGGUCUUCGAAGCUUUGCGAAGACUUCUGCUGUACUUCUGUUGUCUUCGCUAAAAGAGUGGCGUACGAGUCACUGAAUAAAAUAUGAUCGCGAUGUGUAACGCCAACUGAGGCAUGGAUUACAGCUGGUCUGAAGGCAAGCAGCCAAAAUCAAAGUGCUUUUGUCUUUAGCGUGCAAAUGUAUUCAAGGUGCAAUUGAACACUGGUGCUUGAUGAACAGGAAUAAAUUCUUGUGCGAUUAUGGAUUUGAAGGAAAUGUGAUUGUGAUGAUUUCUAAGGAACAUCAAGGAAAAUCAUUAGAUAUCCUUCAUGUGCACAAAAUAAAACCAAGCGGGCGGGGGGAAAGCUAUUUUUGUGUUUAGAACCAUAGCACAGAGUUACCGUUGAGCCACCUUGGGCAAAACUUUGAAAUCUGGCACAAUGUGAUGAGAUGUGAAACGAUCGGUGGUGAGAAAGCAGGGGGGGACUUUACAGGACGAGGACCACUGAUGACAUCAUCCUGCUUCUGGCACCAGUCACCCCUCCUGAGUGAAUGGAAGUGCUCAAGUGGCAGAGCCCCAGCCAGGGACUCUUAAUAUUCAGCCUGCGAAUUCAGUUUAAGCACUCGGCUGCAAGGAUGUCGGGCGGUCUGCGAUCAAUCAAAGCUGAGAGGAAAAACUAAAUAUGCUCCUGUGGAAAGGAGGGGGAAAAAAAAAAUGAUCCGAGCUCCGAUAGUUUUAUUUAUUUAUUUAUUUAUUUGCACCCAAUCUCGGAAUUGAGAGAUUUAAGAUUGAGACUUGGUCAGUAGGAAGUCAUGUCAAAAUAAGAUGCCUUGCUUGGUAUUUUUGUAGAUUUUAAAAACAUUAACAUUUCUAAGAAAGGUCUUAUCAAUUCAGUUUGUAAUCGGAUAAUGGCUGUCAAAACGUCCAAUAUGGAAUCAUACUGGAACCCCCCCCCCACACAAACCUUUACACUUUAGGGGUUAAUGAGAGUUUAAAAUGCUAGAACUUCACUUGUGAUUGAGAUAUGUGUUAAAGAGAAACACUUCAGUUGCUAAAGUCUGUAGUUUUCUGAGCGACAUUACAUUCAUGUGAAAAAGAAAAAAAGAAGGUUUUUUGACAUAUUUGGUCAAGCAAACACUUGAUCAUCUCUGAAACAGUGGCUAUUAAUUAAGUUCAUGAACAAAACCCCAAGGAAAAGAAAAUAGCUUUUUCAAUAUUCAAGAGAAAUAUCAAUAGAUGUGAUGUUCUUCUGUGGAAAAAGUAAGUAGACCCUUGGCCUCAGAAGCUAGUGUUGCCCCCUUUAGAAGAAAUAACUCCUUGAAGGCGUUUUGUAUAAUUACCCACCAGGCUUGCUGGAAUUUCUGACCACUCUUCCAUGCAAUAUUCUUUCAGAUUGAAGAUCUUUGAGGGUUUUCUUGCAUGUUCUGCCCUUUUCAACCCCCCCCCCCCAACAUUUCAAUGGGAUUCAAAUCCGGGCUUCGACUAGGCCGUUCCAUAACCCUCCGUUUCUUCUUUUUGAGACGCUCCUUGGUGGAUUUGCUAGUGUGCUUAAGAUCGUUAUCCUGUUGAAAGGUCCACUUGCGGUUCAGCUUCAACUUUCGGACAGAUUGCCUCAUGUUAUCUUCAAGCACGCUUUGAUAUGAUGUAGAAUUCAUAGUUGAAUCAAUGAAUGUCCAGUCCCGGAGGCGGCAAAGCAACCCCAAACCAUCACAUUUCCACCACCGUGCUUCACAGUUGGUAUGAGGUGCUUCUCUUUUUUUAAGCUGUCUUUGGUCUGGGCCGAACGUGUCUGCUGUUACUGCGGGCAAACAACUCGACCUUUGAUUCGUCUGUCCAGAGCACAUUAUUCCUAAAGCCUGGUCUUUGCCUAUACGCUCAUUGGUAAACUGCAGUCUUGCUUUAAUCACUGGCACCCAAUCUUCAACACCUGAUUCGAAUUUUAUGGAUAUGAAGGUGUGAUAAAUGUAACUGAUCUGUUUUUUUGUUCAUUUAAAUUGUGAAAAUUACUACAAAAUGUCAAUUUAUUGUCUUAUAAUAGAGUGUAGCGACUUUAUUAAUAAGCACACUUUCAAAGAGGAUCAAAUGUUCGCUUAUACAAAUAUAUGUCAAGAAAAGCCAACAAAUUCCAUGGGGCACACUUGUUUUUUCACAUGACUGUAGUAGAAAAUGUCAACAUUUCACAGCAUGAAAGGUUUUCCCAGGUUGCCACACAUAUCAGGAAAGUCAAAGCUGGAUUUAAAAGUUUUGGUUCAUUAAAUCAGUGUUUUUUAAAAAUGUAGUCCAUGAGGCAUACCAGGGAGUGUUUGUUUGUUUAGCGGUAGAAAUUUCAAGCCACCAUCACCAAAGUUAUUAGAUCUAUUAUCGAUUUCUUACAGCGAUUAGCCUAUUCACUUGAAUGACUUUAACCCCAAACCUUAAUAACACAAAAAAGUAAACAACUUUAAGUAAACAAGUACUCCUGUUUCCUCCCCCAGUCCAAAGACAUGUGCUGUACACUGAUUUCUAUCUCUAAAUUGUCCAGAGUUUGUGAAUGGGUGUGUGACUGUGUGAGUC